UACGUAGGGGGCAAGCGUUGUCCGGAAUCAUUGGGCGUAAAGCGCGUGUAGGCGGCUUCGUAAGUCCGUUGUGAAAGUCCAGGGCUCAACCCUGGAAUGCCGAUGGAUACUGCGGAGCUAGAGUCCGGAAGAGGCGAGUGGAAUUCCUGGUGUAGCGGUGAAAUGCGCAGAUAUCAGGAGGAACACCAAUGGCGAAGGCAGCUCGCUGGGACGGUACUGACGCUGCGACGCGAAAGCGUGGGGAGCAAACAGG
rnacentral:rRNA from 1 species